rnacentral:rRNA from 1 species
GACAGAGGGUGCAAACGUUGUUCGGAAUUGCUGGGCGUAAAGCGCGUGUAGGCUGCUUCGCAAGUCGGGUGUGAAAGCCCUGGGCUCAACCUAGGAAGUGCACUCGAAACUGCGAAGCUUGAGUCCUGGAGAGGAAGGCGGAAUUCUCGGUGUAGAGGUGAAAUUCGUAGAUAUCGAGAGGAACACCGGUGGCGAAGGCGGCCUUCUGGACAGUGACUGACGCUGAGACGCGAAAGCGUGGGGAGCAAACAGG